UACGGAGGGUGCAAGCGUUAUCCGGAUUCACUGGGUUUAAAGGGUGUGUAGGCGGAUAUUUAAGUCAGUGGUGAAAUCUCUGGGCUCAACUCAGAAACUGCCAUUGAUACUAUUUAUCUUGAAUAUCGUUGAGGUUGGCGGAAUAUAUCAUGUAGCGGUGAAAUGCAUAGAUAUGAUAUAGAACACCGAUUGCGAAGGCAGCUAACUAAACGAUUAUUGACGCUGAGGCACGAAAGCGUGGGGAGCAAACAGG
rnacentral:rRNA from 1 species